AUCCUUCUGUAGUUCAUAAGCAUGAUGAUGGGGGCGCUCACGCUGUUGUGUGCCAUGUGCCUCCCUCAGACCUUGUUACAACGGCAACACAUGACCCGUCUGACG
ensembl:snoRNA small nucleolar RNA U13